CAAUGGUAGAAAAUAAAGUGAUCACUUUUAUACAUGAACGUUCUAUUGUAGAACUCAAGUUAUAUACAAUUGAUUGCUAAACAAACAAAAUUUGCAAGACUUAUAGUAACUGCUGUGUUCUGAGAGAAAAAUAUGAGUUUUAGUUUUGUGAAAUACAAGAGUCAUGUUGAAGAUGGAGACACUGUCAUUUUAUACAUGGUAUCACUUUAAUUUAUACCAAUUUAAUAUUUGUUAAUAAUUUACAUGGGUGGGUUGACUACAAAAUUUUUGUAGUUCGCUAUAACUACAGCUACUUCAAAAAUAUGUAGUCAGCUACAACUACUGCUACUUUUGAACAAAGGUAGUUCGCUACUGACUACAGCUACUGCUUAAAAAAUGUAGCGAACUAUUUCACUAUUUCGCUACACUAUAUUUUUUUAGUUUUACUAUAUUUGGAGCAUCUACUAACUCAGGCUGUAAUGCAAUCUAUAACAAAUCGACUUACGAGUAGCAACAGUAAACACAAAGCAACAUUUUUGUAAGCACUACAGUGUUCAGGAGUGCAAAUUGAGUAUUGAUUUUAAACAAAUCGUGUCUCAAUAUCAUAUGCUAUUCUGUCAAGUUACUAACAAUUUUAAAAAGUAGCGAAUAGCGAUUCGCUGUUUGAAAAGUAGUCAACUACUUGGCUACAACCCACCCUUGAUAAUUUAGCUAGUACAUAGGAUAACAGUGGUGGACAGACACACCAGUAAAGGAUUGUAUUAAUACAAUCUGUGGAUAUAUGCAUUUUUUGCAAUUCAUUACGACAAAGGCCAGGCUGCCCGGCCACAAUACACCCUUGUGCGGAACAUACUCAGUCUUGGUUAUAGUUUCUGAGUCAAAAUACCUGUGGGAAGGGCAGGAGUUGUUAACAAUUUCAGGAUAUUUAUGUGGUCCGGCCAUAUAAUUCGGAACACUUAGUCAUACAUGAUAAAAAAAUAUUGUGUCACACUGUACGUCACAAUUAAGGGAAGAAAAAACUAACUUUUGAAUAUCCAGCUAAUGCCUCAUCUGAAAGUUUUGUUUCUUUAAAAAUGUCUCUAUUUCAGUGCUUGAACUGUUAUCCAUAUUGAAAACAACUUAUUUUGAAAAACAUCCAGCAUGCAUAUGAGGUUGGAAAACGUCGAGAUAAUGUUGCUCGAUCGUCCCAAGUUUCCUGCAGCGCGAACCACACUGCAAGCCGAGAUGCCCGUCUCUCAGGCAGCAAUUUGUUGUCAAAUUCCCAUCUCCAAAUUGAAUCGUCAUUGAAUAUUCAGUAAAGCAUUGAUUGAGCAAUCGUGGAACAAGCCUGAGACAAAUUUGUUGAAGAUCCCUAACACGGAAGUGGAGUGUUUGUUCGUUCAUGAAAUGUUAAAAUAGAUCAAUGAUACUGUAUCUAACAGUAUGUCAUAAUAGUUAUUUAAUAAUAUUUAUAUUAAUUUUAUAUUAUACAUUUUAGGGCCGAACAAAACAGGAUGCCGUACAAAUCAAGAAGGGUUCUGUUUUGGACACUAAAUUUGGACAAUUUCCUCAUAGCUAUUUGAUUGGGCAGGAAUACGGCACAAAGGU
rnacentral:lncRNA from 1 species